UGACUCUGGUUUCUUCAUAACGCACAAGUCUGGGCCUUACUUUACAAAGACUUCCGUGGAGAGAAAACAAACAUGAGUUGAAUAUAUUUUUGGCAGGCUUUGCUGUAUGGCUG